rnacentral:lncRNA from 1 species
CCUCCAAGGGAAACGCUGGAAAACGGUGGGUUGUCUCCUUCCGAAUUACAGGGGGCGUCUUGGCGAUGCAGUAACCGCCCACCACGGGUGCGGAACCUCGGGUGCCCAGGAAACUCGCGCCCUCAGCCGAACUCAUCGGAACCGCGGCGGCUCAUCCAGGCUCCGUCGGCGCAGCCCCCUCGGAGCGGCGUGCUCCCUGCACCCUAGUCCCCGGUCCUUCUGGAGGGACGCUCCCGCAAGUCACUGGAAGGAAGGCCACUCACGCUGCAGAGAACAAACCAAACCAAAGGCGUGCCGAGCGAGUCCGCUGUGACCGGGACGUAGACCUGAAGACCAAGCUGGCACCGACUCGGUCGCACGCCACCUCAAGGCCCAAUUUCCAAACCCGCGCCCCCGAUUUCUCCGCGGAAAGCCGCUUCCGGCUUGCGUCACUUCCGGCGACGCCACCCACCCGCUCCGUCCCGAUUCCCAGUCAGCAGCCGCAAACUGUCGCCACGUCGCGGCUUCCGCGGAGUUUCCCAGUCGCUCGCGGGGCGCGUCCGCGGGCGAGGGCCCCCGGGGGCUUUAAGGAGGGCAGGGCGGCUGCCCGGUCAUAUAACUUUUCUUCAAAAGCUGGACGUAUUCUUGUGACAUUUUCAAAACUAGAUCUUGAUUUAGACAUGACACAUCAGUAGAUCCUGGAGGAAAGUCUCUGCAGGAUCCAGAUUCAAAUUCAGCAGCAGCUGAAAAGAAAAAGAAAGAAUUACAGUCUUUAACAUACUUCCUAGUUAACUAAGUCUGAGUUAGUAAAAAAAAGUUGAGACCUUUAUAAGUGUUGAGAAGAAUGAAAAAUAUUUACAUAUGACUACAACACAAAAUACAAGAUUACUGUUAAAUAUAAUUUGCUCAUAGGUGCACGCUGAAUUAAUUCCUAUUGUGGCUAAGUAUCAGAGCUUCCAGUUUUCUCAUUCUUCACUUCUUUAUUCAACAAACAUGUGCUAAGAUACUGUAACCCAAGCAGUGGAAUUUCAAAAUGAAGGUGACAUAGUCCAUCUCUCAACAAUCAUAUACUAUAAACUGAAAACACAGAUGGACAGGCAGUUGCCACACAGAUGGGAUAUAUGAGUAUCCCAUGACAACACGGCACUAUUGGAAUGCACAGAAGAGACAUCCCAGUUCUGUGUCAGUGUUGUUGGCUUUUUGGUGAGGUGAUGUGUAAGUUGAUACCUGAAUGGCAAGGAAAAAGUGUGUCAGAUAGUGGGAGGAAGCACAUGCAGAGACUGGAGGGGGGGAAGAACACUGGAAGUAUAAGUCGUCUAGUUUGAUGAGAUGCUAGAGCAAAGGGGCAGAGGAGGGUAAGCAGCAAGAGAUAAAGCUGAAUAAUUUGGCAAGAACCAAAGUGGUUUGGGUGUUUUUAUUCCAGGCUGAGAAAUUUGGAAUUUUUCCUGAGGGCAAAAGGUAAACCAAUGACACAGUCAAUGACUGAAGCUUAAAUGUCACCCGUCAAGUGACAGUUAUAUGAACUGUCAUUGUGUGACUUAAGUAUUACUAGAUGAGUCUGGUUUUUCGGCCUUAUAUCACUACCAGAAAUGUGAGAAGUUGAUGAAGCCCAUGUUUUCUGAGAAUAGUUUCAGUGUGCAGGUUGACAGUUCCAUAGGGACGGCAGAAGUGAAGGAAGGGGAUAGCCAGAAAGAA